AGUUGAAAUCCCCCAAAUUUCCCAUUUCCAACAAUACCUUUUUCCUUUUCAUUUCACUGCACUGAAACGCUAGAUGAGAAGAAAUCCUAGAUGAGAAGAAAUCGGAGGAAGAGGAGUUGAAAGAUAAAGAAAACGAAGAGGGGAGUAAGGGGGUUUUUGCGCUUUGUUUCCCCCCCCUUUCUUUUACAUUGCCUUACUAAGAUGCCAUUGGCUGUUCGCUGAAAUAAAGAGAUAAAAAAAAGGUUGAAGAAGGUGAAGAAUCUUUGUUUCAGUUUCUUUUUCUGUCUUUGCUUAAAAGAAAUCUUUUUUCUUCUUCUACUUUUUUUGUUGUGUAAAUACGCGUAGGUGUAGGAAUUUUCUCCUAUAAUACCGGUCGUCCCCUUAUCCUACGCCGACAAUUAGAGUCAGAGUCAAAUACAGGUCAAUCUAUCAUGAAAUCAGCAUCAAUUCUCAAGCUACAUUCGGUUGUAGGGUUAAAGGUCGAGUUGUGCAGGUUGCUGGAAUAGAAAAGAUCAGCUGUUCUCAGGUUGCAAGACACAUUGGAUCGCCUGGCAGCAAAACUAGAGUCAGUGUAUAAAGCAUCAGGGGGAAAAAGAUAAAUAUCAUAAGUCAUUCUAUGGGGGGUCUUCUGGUAAAAUGUUUCAUGGGCCUUCACAGUGAUGUAAGCUAUCUAUUGCAUCUCCUAUCUCCUCAUUUUGGCUAUCUACAUGUUCACAUUUGAUUAGCUUAAAUGGUCACGCAGAAUUUUUUUUAAAUAGAAAUGAUCAAGGGGCUAAAGUGACCAAAAAAUAGUAAAAGAGUCAAAAUGAUAAUUUUACUAUA